rnacentral:rRNA from 1 species
AUUGAACGCUGGCGGCAGGCCUAACACAUGCAAGUCAGGCGAGCGGAGGACGGGAGAGUAAUGUAUGGGGCUCUGCCUGAUGGUGGGGGAUCUCUACUGAACACGGUAGACAAUAACGUAAACUAUCAGAUGAACACAUAUGGGAUUUGCUUGUAGGUGUGGUAACGGCUCACCUAGGCGACGAUCCCUAGUUGGUCUGAGAGGAUGAUCAGCCACACUGGGACUGAGACACGGCCCAGACUCCUACGGGAGGCAGCAGUGGGGAAUAUUGCACAAUGGGCGCAAGCCUGAUGCAGCCAUGCCGCGUGUAUGAAGAAGGCCUUCGGGUUGUAAAGUACUUUCAGUCGGGAGGCGUUACCGACAGAAGAAGCACCGGCUAACUCCGUGCCAGCAGCCGCGGUAAUAC